UACGUAGGGUGCGAGCGUUAAUCGGAAUUACUGGGCGUAAAGCGUGCGCAGGCGGUUGUGCAAGACAGGUGUGAAAUCCCCGGGCUUAACCUGGGAACUGCACUUGUGACUGCACAGCUGGAGUGCGGCAGAGGGGGAUGGAAUUCCGCGUGUAGCAGUGAAAUGCGUAGAUAUGCGGAGGAACACCGAUGGCGAAGGCAGCCUCCUGGGCCAACACUGACGCUCAUGCACGAAAGCGUGGGGAGCAAACAGG
rnacentral:rRNA from 1 species